rnacentral:misc_RNA from 1 species
GCAAACUUGGUCAUUUAGAGGAAGUAAAAGUCGUAACAAGGUUUCCGUAGGUGAACCUGCGGAAGGAUCAUUAGUGAAUAAACUUGUGUGGGUUGUUGCUGACCUCUUCGGGGGUAUGUGCACGCCUGCCAUCGUUUCAUUCUCCCUUCCACCUGUGCACUUAUUGUAGAUCAAGCCACUGCACUUCAGGUGUAAAUCGCCUGGUAUGAGGACUUGCACGGUUUGCUGCUGUCCUUGCGUGGUCUGGUCUAUGUCUUUAUCAAAUCCAUUGUAUGUCGUCGAAUGUAUGUUCUGGGUUCUUUGUAGGCCCAUAAAACCUUAUACAACUUUCAACAACGGAUCUCUUGGCUCUCGCAUCGAUGAAGAACGCAGC